rnacentral:rRNA from 1 species
UACAGAGGGUGCAAGCGUUAAUCGGAAUUACUGGGCGUAAAGCGAGCGUAGUCGGUUAUUUAAGUCGGAUGUGAAAUCCCUGGGCUCAACCCAGGAAGUGCACUCGAAACUGGCGAGCUUGAGUACUGAAGAGGGUCGCGGAAUUCCCGGUGUAGAGGUGAAAUUCGUAGAUAUCGGGAGGAACACCAGUGGCGAAGGCGGCGACCUGGGCAGAUACUGACACUGAGGUGCGAAAGCGUGGGGAGCAAACAGG